GUACCCGUUUGGUUCAACUUUUAGAGCUUAAAAGUUGCGUUUUGCAAAACGCUGGCCCAAAAAUUGCGUUUGGUUAUUACAAAACGCAACUUUGGGUCAAAAGUUGCGUUUUAAAAAACGCCCUGAACGCGCAUCAGUCCUUAUGCGAAGCAUCAGGUCCAUUUUCCAAAAGUCCUUGGGCGUUUUGGGGUAUCCGUUGGGGUGAGCAGGCAAUUACGAAAUUACCCUUCAAAUGCUCAUGUCUUCAGAGAUCGCACAGGCACUUCAUUUCACUUUGGGUCUCUCUGCUCUGCGCAAGCUCCUUCGUUCCUCUCAUCUUUGUGCUGCUACAAGUAACAACUUUCCGCGCGUAAAGUUUUGAUAAAAAAAACCCCAAGCAACACGGAUCUGCUACCCAAAGCCACCAGAUGGGUAAAAAGACUACUUCCAACUCUGAGGUAAAAAAGGCUAGAGCAGACUGGGAUAUUAAUCCAACGUGGACAACUACCUUUUGUAACAUUUGUGUGGAACAAAUUCAAGCCGGGAAUAGAACAAAAGGUGCUGGCUUUAGUACCAAAGGUUGGGUCAAUUUGGUGACCAAAUUUUGUAAUGAGACCGGUCUAAACUAUGAU